CAGUCGCCGCGGUAAAACGUAGGUGGCAAGCGUUGUCCGGAAUUAUUGGGCGUAAAGCGCGCGCAGGCGGCCUAUCCAGUCUGUCUUAAAAGUUCGGGGCACAACCCCGUGAUGGGAUGGAAACUAGUAGGCUAGAGUAUCGGAGAGGAAAGCGGAAUUCCUAGUGUAGCGGUGAAAUGCGUAGAUAUUAGGAAGAACACCAGUGGCGAAGGCGGCUUUCUGGACGAAAACUGACGCUGAGGCGCGAAAGCCAGGGGAGCGAACGGGAUUAGAUACCCCAGUAGUCCCUGUCUCUUAUACA
rnacentral:rRNA from 1 species